CCUGGUUGAUCCUGCCAGUGGUCAUAUGCUUGUCUCAAAGAUUAAGCCAUGCAUGUUUAAGCAGAAGCCGCACAACGGUAAAGCCGCGAAUGGCUCAUUACAACAGCCGUCGUUUCUUGGAUCUCUAAUUUUACUUGGAUAACUGUGGUAAUUCUAGAGCUAAUACACGCACUAAAGCUCUGACCUUACGGAACGAGCGCAUUUAUUAGAACAAAACCAAUCGGGUUUCGGCCCGUUCGUUGGUGACUCUGAAUAACUCUGCCGAUCGCACGGUCUCGCACCGGCGACGUAUCUUUCAAGUGUCUGCCUUAUCAACUUUCGAUGGUAGUUUAUGUGCCUACCAUGGUUGUAACGGGUAACGGAGAAUAAGGGUUCGACUCCGGAGAGGGAGCCUGAGAAACGGCUACCACAUCCAAGGAAGGCAGCAGGCGCGCAAAUUACCCACUCUCGGCACGAGGAGGUAGUGACGAAAAAUAACGAGACGGAUCUCUUUGAGGCCCGUUAUCGGAAUGAGAACAAUUCAAAUCCUUUAACGAGUAUCUAGCGGAGGGCAAGUCUGGUGCCAGCAGCCGCGGUAAUUCCAGCUCCGCAGGUGUAUAUCUAUGCUGCUGCGGUUAAAAAGCUCGUAGUUGGAUCUGCGUGCUCGGAACUGGUUGGCUCACUGAGUUCAAACUGGUCUCCGGCGCUUUAUUAGCUGGUUUUCCCUUGAUGCUCUUAACCGGGUGUCUUGGGUGGCUAGCACGUUUACUUUGAAAAAAUUAGAGUGCUCAAUACAGGCGUAAAGCCUUGAAUAGUGGUGCAUGGAAUAAUAGAAUAGGACCUCGGCUCUAUUUUGUUGGUUUUCGGAACGCGAGGUAAUGAUUAAGAGGGACAGACGGGGGCAUUCGUAUUGCGACGUUAGAGGUGAAAUUCUUGGAUCGUCGCAAGACGGACGACUGCGAAAGCAUUUGCCAAGAAUGUUUUCAUUAAUCAAGAACGAAAGUUAGAGGUUCGAAGGCGAUCAGAUACCGCCCUAGUUCUAACCGUAAACGAUGCCAACUAGCGAUUCGCAGGCGUUAAACAACGACCUUGCGGGCAGCUUCCCGGAAACGAAAGUGUUCGGGUUCCGGGGGAAGUAUGGUUGCAAAGCUGAAACUUAAAGGAAUUGACGGAAGGGCACCACCAGGAGUGGAGCCUGCGGCUUAAUUUGACACAACACGGGAAAACUCACCCGGCCCGGACACCGUAAGGAUUGACAGAUUGAGAGCUCUUUCUUGAUUCGG
rnacentral:rRNA from 1 species